rnacentral:lncRNA from 1 species
CAACAUUUUUAAAAUUUAAUUAAACUAGGCUAGAAUACUAUCAAUAGCACCAAGCUAUUGGUGCUAUUAGUUUUUUAGUUCUUGGAUUGAGAAAUGUGUGGUUAGGAUGAUGUGGGCUCCUUACGGUUGAGUGAGUGGUUCGUUGAAUAGUAUAAUCUAAUGGAUAAAAUAAUAAAAGAGUUAAAUCUAACAGUGGAAAGCUCGAUAGCACCAAAUCCUUGGUGCUCUCGAUAGUAUCCCAGCUAAACUCAAUUUU